UAUAUUCUGUAGCAAGGUUAACCGCAUAGGGGAGCCGAAGGGAAACCGAGUCUUAAUUGGGCGUUAAGUUGCAGGGUAUAGACCCGAAACCCGGUGAUCUAGCCAUGGGCAGGUUGAAGGUUGGGUAACACUAACUGGAGGACCGAACCGACUAAUGUUGAAAAAUUAGCGGAUGACCUGUGGCUGGGGGUGAAAGGCCAAUCAAACCGGGAGAUAGCUGGUUCUCCCCGAAAGCUAUUUAGGUAGCGCCUCGUGAACUCAUCUCCGGGGGUAGAGCACUGUUUCGGCUAGGGGGCCAUCCCGGCUUACCAACCCGAUGCAAACUGCGAAUACCGGAGAAUGUUAUCACGGGAGACACACGGCGGGUGCUAACGUCCGUCGUGAAGAGGGAAACAACCCAGACCGCCAGCUAAGGUCCCAAAGUCAUGGUUAAGUGGGAAACGAUGUGGGAAGGCCCAGACAGCCAGGAUGUUGGCUUAGAAGCAGCCAUCAUUUAAAGAAAGCGUAAUAGCUCACUGGUCGAGUCGGCCUGCGCGGAAGAUGUAACGGGGCUAAACCAUGCACCGAAGCUGCGGCAGCGACACUUUAGUGUUGUUGGGUAGGGGAGCGUUCUGUAAGCCGUUGAAGGUGUCCUGUGAGGG
rnacentral:rRNA from 1 species